AGUGAAAGCUGGCGGUAUGCCUAACACAUGCAAGUCGAACGAGUGGCGGACGGGUGAGGAAUACAUCGGAAUCUACUCUGUCGUGGGGGAUAACGUGGGGAAACUUACGCUAAUACCGCAUACGAUGGAAUGAGCAGCUGUCGGAUUAGCGAGUUGGCGGGGUAAAGGCCCACCAAGGCGACGAUCCGUAGCUGGUCUGAGAGGAUGAUCGGCAAACCGGGAACUGAGACACGGUCCAGACUCCUACGGGAGGACGCAGUGGGGAAUCUUGGACAAUGGGCGCAAGCCUGAUCCAGCCAUACCGCGUGGGUGAAGAAGUCCUUCGGGUUGUAAAGCCCUUUUGUUGGGAAAGCGGUACCCAAAGAAUAAGCACCGGCUAACGCCGUGCCAGCAGCCGCGGUAAUUC
rnacentral:rRNA from 1 species